rnacentral:rRNA from 1 species
AUUGAACGCUGGCGGCAUGCUUUACACAUGCAAGUCGAACGGUAACAGGCCUUCGGGUGCUGACGAGUGGCGCACGGGUGAGUAAUGCAUCGGAACGUACCCAGAGGUGGGGGAUAACGCAGCGAAAGCUGUGCUAAUACCGCAUGUGAUCUGAGGAUGAAAGCGGGGGACCGAGCAGCAAUGUUUGGCCUCGCGCCUUUGGAGCGGCCGAUGUCGGAUUAGCUAGUUGGUGGGGUAAAGGCCUACCAAGGCGACGAUCCGUAGCUGGUCUGAGAGGACGACCAGCCACACUGGGACUGAGACACGGCCCAGACUCCUACGGGAGGCAGCAGUGGGGAAUUUUGGACAAUGGGCGCAAGCCUGGUCCAGCAAUGCCGCGUGCGGGAAGAAGGCCUUCGGGUUGUAAACCGCUUUUGGCAGGAACGAAACGGUGUCCGCUAAUACCGGGCGCUAAUGACGGUACCUGCAGAAUAAGCACCGGCUAACUACGUG